GCGGUAGUAGCUCAGUCGGUAGAGCAUUAGCUUCCCAAGCUGAGGGUCGCGAGUUCGAGUCUCGUCUGCCGCU
rnacentral:tRNA from 1 species